UUACAUACACUCCAGAUAUUUAGGUGUUCAAGACAGCCUUGAGAAUGCCUCUAUAACAGUGAUGUGGCGGUAUUUAAGGUGAAUGGGAGUUUCGGAUCAGGUCAGUCUGGCUAAUGUUAUGGCUUUUUUUUUUCAACAGGCAAUGGCACGUUAGUGUACAAGAAGAAGAUUAAUGAUCAAAAGCAAAAAAAAGAGAUUCUGGUGAAGGUGCUUAAAGCUGGCCAAACUGAGGAGGUGUUUCACCAGUUUCACACUGAUGAAACUGGUGGACACAAUGGCCAGGCUAAAACAUUACAUGCCAUUGCAGUCCGAUUCUACUGGCCCAAUCAGUCAGUGCACAUCAAGAAAUGGGUCAGCGAAUGUAAAGGGUGUCAACUAGAAGAUGCCUAGUGGUGUGGAAAACUUGCAACCCAUUAAGUUCCAGAGCAAGCUGCUAGUGUCAAAACUAUCUGUGGGUUUUGCGUAUGGUGACCACCUGUUGUUGCCGCCAUGAUACCGUGGUCCGUCCGUGCCAUGUUCGCUAUGCAGUGUGUCUCUUGUAUGUAUAUGAUGUGUAGCCAACCUACUUUUCUACUAUAUGAUAUCAGGAAAUUCUACACAAAUCUAGAGCUCUCAUGUGUAUUGACUGUCUUAGUUCAUGUCUAUGUACUUGCUACUCAGAAGUGAGUCUAGUUCAACACACUUUGAUGUUAGAUUCUGUCAAUAACGAGGCACUUGUAACUGUUUGCUUUCUUAUCUUUUUGACAAACUAAUGUUUCCUGUCAGUUGAACCAUUUUUUGCAAUAUUGGCUGUUUUAGAAUUGUAUGUAAGUUGUAUGAGACUUUGGGACGGAAUCAAAAGAAUAGUUGAAUUCUAAUUUCCUAUCCAUUUUCGAUUUUGCAAAUGACUGAUUGUAGCUGACAAUGUGAGAUUCUGAGUAAGAAUUGAAGGUUACGGAGGUAAACAGCUUAAAAUCUUGUAAUCUAUUUAAACCCAGGAUAUGUGUAGCUUGAAAUAAUUUGUUAACUUUGAGAACUGUAAAAAUCAGGAAAUUUCCACCAUUGAAAGUGUGUUUAGCCAGAAGCGUUUGCAGCUGCAAGUGGAAAUGUGUCACCCAAAAUUCUGAAGUGAAAUUGUGUCAUAAGGCAACAAAUUAAAGUGUGUUACUUUGCUUUUUCUCUUACCGGUUCAAGUCUUAAAACAAUUUACGGCAAGUUUUUCUGUCAUACCGUAGUUGUCCCUCAGACUGACUUAACCCUUUGUCAUCUACCCCCACUUCUGACAGUGUCAGUGCGGUAUAGGGACACCCAUUGUGUACCAAGGGUUAAACUGUAUUCUGCCAAAUUUGCAGUGUUUUCAAACUGGUGCAUAUUUCAGGGAACGGAACAGAAACAGCCAACUUUGUUAGUUCA